rnacentral:rRNA from 1 species
UGGGGGAUAUUGCACAAUGAGCGAAAGCCUGAUGCAGCGACGCCGCGUGGGGGAUGAAGGCUUUCGGGUUGUAAACCUCUUUCGCUAUCGAACAAGGCCCGCUUAGGGUGGGUUGAGGGUAGGUGGAGAAGAGGCGCCGGCUAACUACGUGCCAGCAGCCGCGGUAAUACGUAGGGCGCGAGCGUUGUCCGGAAUUAUUGGGCGUAAAGGGCUUGUAGGCGGCUUGUUGCGCCUGCUGUGAAAACGCGGGGCUUAACUUCGCGCGUGCAGUGGGUACGGGCAGGCUUGAGUGUGGUAGGGGUGACUGGAAUUCCAGGUGUAGCGGUGGAAUGCGCAGAUAUCUGGAGGAACACCGAUGGCGAAGGCAGGGCACUGGGCCAUUACUGACGCUGAGGAGCGAAAGCAUGGGUAGCGAACAGG